UUGAGCAUCAAACUUUUAAAUUGAAGAGUUUGAUCAUGGCUCAGAUUGAACGCUGGCGGCAGGCCUAACACAUGCAAGUCGAACGGUAACAGGAAACAGCUUGCUGUUUCGCUGACGAGUGGCGGACGGGUGAGUAAUGUC
rnacentral:rRNA from 1 species